rnacentral:snRNA from 1 species
GUGCUUGCUUCGGCAGCACAUAUACUAAAAUUGGAAUGAUACAGAAAAGAUUAGCGUGGCCCCUGAGCAAGGAUGACAUGCAAAUUCGUGAAGCGUUAAUAUUUUUG